rnacentral:rRNA from 1 species
UACGUAGGGGGCGAGCGUUAUCCGGAAUUAUUGGGCGUAAAGAGUGCGUAGGUGGUCUUGUAAGCGUGGGGUGAAAGGCAGUGGCUUAACCAUUGUUAGCCUUGCGAACUGUGAGACUUGAGUGCAGGAGAGGAAAGUGGAAUUCCUAGUGUAGCGGUGAAAUGCGUAGAUAUUAGGAGGAACACCAGUGGCGAAGGCGACUUUCUGGACUGUAACUGACACUGAGGCACGAAAGCGUGGGGAGCAAACAGG